CGCCGCGGUGAAUACGUUCCCGGGCCUUGUACACACCGCCCGUCACACCACGAGAGUUUGUAACACCCGAAGUCGGUGAGGUAACCUUUUUGGAGCCAGCCGCCUAAGGUGGGAUAGAUGAUUGGGGUGAAGUCGUAACAAGGUAGCCGUAUCGGAAGGUGCGGCUGGAUCACCUCCUUUCUAAGGAA
rnacentral:rRNA from 1 species